AUACGAACCGGACAAACGUUAUUCGGAAUCAUUGGGCUUAAAGGGUGCGUAGGCGGCGUAGUAAGUGAGGUGUGAAAGCCCUCGGCUCAACCGAGGAAUUGCGCUUCAUACUGCUAUGCUCGAGGGAGACAGGGGUAAGCGGAACUGAUGGUGGAGCGGUGAAAUGCGUUGAUAUCAUCAGGAACACCAGUGGCGAAAGCGGCUUACUGGGUCUCUUCUGACGCUGAGGCACGAAAGCUAGGGUAGCGAACGGGAUUAGAAACCCCAGUAGUCC
rnacentral:rRNA from 1 species